rnacentral:tRNA from 1 species
CACAGGAUGGCAGAGUGGUUAAGGUGUUGGACUUAAGAUCCAAUAGACAAAUGUCUGUGUGGGUUCAAACCCCACUCCUGGUA